UAUUAUUUUAAUUAAUUUUUAAAUAAUUAUAAAAAUUAAAUAAAAUGGCAGUAUUUUUAAAAAUUAGAGGAUUUUGUUAUUUAAUAGAUAGUACACUAUAUAAUUUACUUUGUUUAAAUUACAUUGUAUAUUGUUGUAAUUAAUAUACACUUAAUGAUAAAUUAAUUUAAUUUUUAAAUAAAAAAUUAAUUCAAAUAAACAUGCAUGUUAUUAUAAAGACUUAAAUGAAAUACAAUUAAUUAAUUAAUGAAUUAAUGUUUUUAAAAAUUUUAUGAAAUUGGAUUUAAAUUUAAAUUUUUACAAAUUUAAAAAUUGACUAAUAUUAAAAAUAUGCACAUAUUGCCCGUCGUUUUUAAUAAUAGUUAAAAUAA
rnacentral:rRNA from 1 species